CCUACGGGUGGCAGCAGUGGGGAAUAUUGGGCAAUGGGCGCAAGCCUGACCCAGCAACGCCGCGUGAAGGAAGAAGGCUUUCGGGUUGUAAACUUCUUUUCUCAGGGACGAAGCAAGUGACGGUACCUGAGGAAUAAGCCACGGCUAACUUCGUGCCAGCAGCCGCGGUAAUACGUAGGUGGCAAGCGUUAUCCGGCUUUACUGGGUGUAAAGGGCGUGUAGGCGGGACUGCAAGUCAGAUGUGAAAACCACGGGCUCAACCAUUGGCCUGCAUGUGAAACUGUAGUUCUUGAGUACUGGAGAGGCAGACGGAAUUCCUGGUGUAGCGGGGAAAUGCGUAGAGAUUAAGAGGAACACCAGUGGCGAAGGCGGUCUGCUGGACAGCAACUGACGCUGAGGCGCGAAAGCGUGGGGAGCAAACAGGAUUAGAUACCCCAGUAGUC
rnacentral:rRNA from 1 species